AUACAAAAACUGUACAGUUUUAUGAUUACAAUACUAUGCCUUAUAAAUAAAAGAAAAUAUUUUUUGUAGUGUUCAGCUGUUUAGGUUGUGUCGUAGUAAAAGUUGAUUCGUGAUUCAUCUCUCUCUCGUCUUGAUUCAGUUUGCGUUGCAUUGUACAUCGAAGUGCCGUAUUUUCCUUGUAGGUGUAGUUUGUUGCACUCCUGUCGUGUUGACUGUCACUGUUAUCUAGUUGUGUUCUGAGUGUUUUCAUGCUACAUAAGUUCUUAUAAGAAUUAGAGAUGGGAAUAGAAAAUUUUAAGCUUGUAUUAGAUAACCCAGAUGCUGUUUUCUAUGCCGGUUCUGUAGUAUCCGGAAAAUUACAAUUUUGGUUGAAUAGACACACAAAAAUAAGAGAUGUAAAACUUCAUUUAUUUGGAGAAGCCAAAGUUUCGUUCAAGGGUAGACAUAAAACAUGCAGGAGUAACGAAUAUGAGGUGGUUACCUUCUGUGCUUCUGAAGAAUACUUUUCCAUAAUGUACUACCUUCUGGGUGAAAUGCAGACUCUACUGCCAGGAGAAUAUGUGUGUCUGUUCUCCACGACUCUGCCGACAAUACUGCCUUCGUCUUUUAAGAGUGAACAUGGCAAAAUUCAAUAUUUAAUUAAAGCUGAAAGUAGAAAUCCCCUGGGGUGUUGAUUUCAAAAGUGGAGAAAACAUUGAGCAUUAAGACUAUUGUUAAUCUCAACAACAUCGCAGAAGCCAAGAAGCCAAUAAAACGACAAGUGGAAAAGUUUUUCCGCUGCAUGUGUUGUCCUCUGACGAUGGUCCUGAACUUGCCACAAGCUGGAUAUGUGCCAGGUCAGAACAUCCCUGUGAUCCUGGAGGUGGACAACGCGAGUGACGUGGAUGUGAACAAUGUCGUCAUAAAGUUACAGAAGGUUAUCAAAUGGAAGGCUAGUGUACCUGAGAGUAAAACGGAGACAAACAUUGUGGACCUGGUGGAACUCUCAAUUGGCGGUGUCCGCGGCAAAGACUCAAAGACAUUCACUCAACAACUUUCAGUUCCUGUGGUCCCUGUAUACAACCUGCACCCGUGUUCCAUUAUGACCUGUGAUUAUAUUUUCAAGGUAAGUGUCAUUAAGGUGUAACGGUUUUCUCGAAACUUAAAAUUAUUAUGUUUUAAUGAUUAUUUUUAUUCGAAAAUUCAUGAAUGUAUGUUAACUAACACUUCUUGGUUAUAAAUGUUUCAAAAUACUUGGAAAAAUUGGAAAAAUUUGUAUCUUGACAUUCGUGAAAAUUCUGCGAUGUAGGAUAUUAAAGGAAAGUUGAUUGUAUGUUUGUUUGUUUAAAACUUCACAGGCUAAGAUUGACAAACUUGUAAUAUUUUGAAAGGCCAAGAACAUUGUGGAAUUAUUAACAAAGUGGUUAGUUUAUUUUCUUUUUAUAUAGGUCAAUUUGAAUCAGACAAUCAAUUCACAAUAAAUUUCCUUCUUUUCAAUUUUAAUACAAGAGUUGUUCCAAAGUUAAGUUGCUGAGGCAUCUGAUUGUCGAA